rnacentral:lncRNA from 1 species
CGGUUCGGGCACGCCGACAGACCGCCGAACGGACCGGGGUUUCCCCUGUACGCGGACAGAGUCUCCCCUGUACGUUCUAGGCGUCGCAAUCCAAACAAUGUACAUUACAAUGGUUCCAACCAGGAACAGAUAUCAAUCAUGAUUGCGUAAGGAAGUAUCAAACAACAUAAACACAUCCUAUGUUAUUACAACAUUCACAUUAGAUUCAUUUACUUACAUCACACUUUAUAUAUUACAUUCAACUUCCAAAUACAAUCUAAGUUAUUACAAGUUUAAUACAUUUUAUUCCUUUCAUUUUCUAUACCCCUAAGCUACGCCGACGGGGUACUGCUAGCUCUGGUCUCUGGGGGUAGGGCGCUAUCUAUGGAGCUACGCCCUU